rnacentral:rRNA from 1 species
AGUCGAGCGGAGUUGAUCGACGGAAGCCUUCGGGCGGAAGAUGAUUAACUUAGCGGCGGAUGGGUGAGUAACGCGUGGGCAACCUGCCUCGAAGACCGGGAUAACAGUUCGAAAGGGCUGCUAAUACCGGAUGUGGUCAAGUGUCAGCAUGGGCAUUUGAUUAAAGGGGAAACCCGUUUCGAGAUGGGCCCGCGUCCUAUCAGCUAGUUGGUGAGGUAAAGGCUCACCAAGGCAAUGACGGGUAGCCGGCCUGAGAGGGUGACCGGCCACACUGGAACUGAGACACGGUCCAGACUCCUACGGGGGGCAGCAGUGGGGAAUCUUCCACAAUGGGCGAAAGCCUGAUGGAGCGACGCCGCGUGAGCGAAGAAGGCCUUCGGGUUGUAAAGCUCUGUCUGGAGGGACGAAGAAAGUGACGGUACCUCCGGAGGAAGCCACGGCUAACUACGUGCCAGCAGCCGCGGUAAUACGUAGGUGGCGAGCGUUGUCCGGAAUCACUGGGCGUAAAGGGCGCGCAGGCGGCGUGUCAAGUCGGACGUGAAAACCCCUGGCUCAACUGGG